rnacentral:rRNA from 1 species
UACGGAGGGAGCGAACGUUGUUCGGAUUCACUGGGCGUAAAGGGUGUGUAGGCGGUCUUGUAAGUCUGAGGUGAAAUCCCCCGGCUCAACCGGGGAACUGCCUUGGAGACUGCGAGACUUGAGGGCGUGAGAGGAGACUGGAAUUCCUAGUGUAGCGGUGAAAUGCAUAGAUAUUAGGAGGAACACCAGUGGCGAAGGCGAGUCUCUGGCACGCAUCUGACGCUGAAACACGAAAGCCAGGGGAGCGAACGGG